UUUCAAGAAGCAUUCCAUGCAUUUGGUUUCGGCCCAAAAGAAGCCCUUUCGGCCUUGAUUU
rnacentral:tRNA from 1 species